CUCCUGGAUUCAAGCAAUCCUCCCACCUUGGCCUCUCAGUGUUUUGGGAUUACAGGUGUGAGCCACCACGCCUGGUCUCAAGCCUUCGCUUUCGCAAUCAGCACUAAAGGCAGCCAGAAAUCAACCGUGCGCCACCCCCGACCUGAGAAACAAGUCUAAAUGUGUCCGGAAUUGGUGGGUUCUUAGUUUCACUGACUUCAAGAAUGAAGCCGCGGACCCUCGCGAAUGAAUACACAGGGGCUUAGAGGCAUGUGCUGCUACUGAGGGGAGCACCAAGUGAGAAAUGGAAAAGACCAGGAGAGUGGUGAACGGCCUCACGCUCACUUGACUUCACUCAUGCAGAAGGGCUGCGGGAGCAAGAUGGAAGUCCUGACUGACGAUCCACACUCUGGGUCUUCAGGGAAGUGUCAGCCUCAGAGCUGCGGUCAGUGCGUGGAGCCGGCUACCUGUUGGGGAAGAAGAACUUAAGUGGCUUUUCAAGGUACACGCUGAAGACAGCAGAGUGACAAGCUAGAUGGAACCUGGAUCCUAAAUCACCAUGUUAAAGGCCACCCACCAAAUACUCAACAUUGAACAGCUCUGUGAGUGAGAAAUAAACUUUUAUUGUGUGAAGUCUUUGAGGUUUGGGGCCUUAUGUAUUAUAGCAAUUUGUGUUGCUUACUGUGACCCAGAAAUUGCACUUCUAGGAAUGUUUCCUAAAGAAAUAAUCCAAGAUUCAAAGACUGAUAGAAUCUGAGAACAAUGGACAAAACCCGAAAUGGCUAUAAUCACAAUGAAUGCUGCAAAGGGCUCUGAAACAUGGGAAUGGAAACUGAACAGCAGAGGACAGAAAAUAAAUUACAAAAUUGCUCAGUAGUACAAAUACAGUAUUUGUGAUGGGAAUUAAGAACAAUAGUUGAAAAGAAAAUAAAAACCUGAUCAGCAAGCCUGGUGUUUAAUAAGUGUAUACACUGACCCAUUUGCACAAACAUUUUGGAAUAGAUUGGUGAAUGGAUCCUGGCAUGGAAAUACUUUGUUAAUUGUGAUCAGAGGGUUAUCAGCUCUUUUUCUCUAAGAAAUUAUUUGACAUAUGAUUAAAUUGCCAAGGUCUCUUCUACCUUUUAUAUAUAGAUUUUUCCAGCCCAAGUCCCCUAACAUUAUUGUUUUCAUAACUCUGAAGGCUUUUCUUCUCCUCUUCAUAGCUGAUCCUUCUCACCAUUCUCCCUGGCCUCAGGCAGUGAUGGUAAUAUGGGUAACGUAAGUGCUACUACCAGAAAUUAUGUUAAAAAUGUAUUAUGG
rnacentral:lncRNA from 1 species